UCCCUCCUGAGUGAUGAAAGUGCUGGAAGCCUUCCUUAGAUUCCAAGCCUACACAGCAUAACCAGAUUUGACUUAGCAAAGAUGUCUGCACUGAGAGACAAUGGGGUGAUUGCUUAUCAGUUAAUAAAAAGAACCCAACACUGACUUGUAAGUAGAUAUUACGAGUACGCACCAAAAUCUGCUCUCCUUCCCUUUCCUGAAUAUGGAAGACUUCUUUGCACUUUUGAGCCCUUCUGCAGUUGAGUGGGGCCAUGGCUCUGGCCAUUUGCAGUCUGCAGCAGAGAGGAGCUGCCCAGUGAGGACUUGCUAUCUGAAACUGCAGUCGCCAUGAGUUGGCAAAAGAUGGCAGAAUGGAAAUAGCGGAUCUUGGCCCUUGAUGGUAUCUUUGCACUGCUGAGACCGCCUUCUGCUGACUUCUUGUUAAGUGUGAGAAAAUAAAACAUCAUGAAUGCUUAAGGCCCUGGCAGACUGGAUUCUGUUAUUAGCAGCCAAAUGCAUCCUAACUUUACAAGUAUCUCAUGAACUGAAAUCAACCUGCAAAAUUUACAACUCACUUUUGUGAUGUAUGAGAAGAAUGCAAAAAAAAAACCACCCAGCACCAAACAUCCCUUCAGGAGGAAGAGACGGAUACCCUCAUCUUUUUUUCUUUUCAUUUGAGCUGUCCCAUGUUUGGGAAGUAAAAUGAGAAUUUUCAUAUAUAAACCAAACUUCUCCAUUUUCUCACUGGCAAGUGGUUCAAAACUAUUAGGUCAAGAAUCCUUUCUAAUUAGUUAAGAAUUAAUUAUAUUUGCUAAAAAGGCAGGCCUUUCUCUUACUAGUUUGGGUUAUUCUGCUCGGUUCACUCAUACUGGAGAGUCCUUGAAGGUAAGGAUUAGAGUAAUUGCAGAGCCUGAACAAUGGCUGUGAGUUCAGAAAUAUUCCACCAUUUGUGGGACAACAGCCUGGCCACCUAUCCUUAGAGCCGGACUCACGACUUUGGCCAAUACUGUUGCGGUGUGGAUUGGUAAGAGAAAAAAUAAUUUUUUUAAAGUAAGGUAUGAGGCUCUGCAGGCAUGGGGAUCCAUGUGGAAACACUGGUAACAGGUAGAAAUAAUGUGGCCCUCAGUUAAAAUUCUUCAGAGUUCAAAGA